CACGGCUCUUCAACCAUCGCGAACUCUUCCAAGUUGCUUCGGCGGCGCGGCAUCCCGUCACCGGGGCGCCGCAGCCCGGCCUCUCCGGAGGUGCGGGGCGCCCGCCGGAGGUACAAAACUCUGUAUUAUAGUGGCAUCUCUGAGUAAAAAGCAAAUAAGUUAAAACUUUCAACAACGGAUCUCUUGGUUCUGGCAUCGAUGAAGAACGCAGCGAAAUGCGAUAAGUAAUGUGAAUUGCAGAAUUCACUGAAUCAUCGAAUCUUUGAACGCACAUUGCGCCCGGUAGUACUCUACCGGGCAUGCCUGUUCGAGCGUCAUUUCAACCCUCAAGCCCUGCUUGGUGUUGGGGCCCUACGGCUGCCGUAGGCCCUGAAAGGAAGUGGCGGGCUCGCUACAACUCCGAGCGUAGUAAUUCAUUAUCUCGCUAGGGAGGUGCGGCGUGCUCCUGCCGUUAAAGACCCCAUCUUUAACCAAGGUUGACCUCGGAUCAGGUAGGAAUACCCGCUGAACUUAAGCAUAUCAAUAAGCGGAGAAA
rnacentral:rRNA from 1 species